ACUCACCGCUACUCCACUGCCAACCAACCAUAGUAGGCAAGCAAGGCAAUUCAUCACCGAAAAAAUCAUCGUACUAGCUAGCAGCACGCAGAGCACAAGCUACGAGAUCAUCGUCGUCCAUGGCCAACUUCGCCGCUCAGCUCAAGGACAAGCUCCUCGGCCUCGUCGACCGCGUCGUCAGCUGCGGCGGCCGCGGCGCCUGCGCAAACAAGGAUGUACCGGAGGCGCCCGCCAAGUUGCCAAAUGUUCAGCCCAUUGCGAUCAAGCCGAGAGAUCCCAACGUGAGCCAAGGAUCAAAGCCCGGCUUCAACUGAGACCAACCGCGUUAAAUAAACGACUCGACUUGUUCAUCGUUGUUGCGUGCAUGGUUGAUGACAUGCUUGCCGGUGUUCCAAAUAAGAAUUCUCCUGUUCCAUUGGUUGUAAUGGAACCACCUUGAGAUUUAUUUUUUUAUUUUCCUUUCGAAGUUUCCCUUUGAUCCAUGAGGAUCUGGGCGUGUAUUUUUAUUUUGAAACAUGCAACCUCAAUAAAAAUAGUAGUUUGAUUAAUGGUAUA